GGUGCCGUGGUCGAGUGGUUAAGUCGCCGGACUGUUGAUCACAAGGUCAGUGGUUCGAGACCCCCCGGCACUA
rnacentral:tRNA from 1 species